rnacentral:rRNA from 1 species
UACGGGGGGGGCAAGCGUUGUUCGGAAUUACUGGGCGUAAAGGGCUCGUAGGCGGCCAACUAAGUCCGACGUGAAAUCCCCAGGCUUAACCUGGGAACUGCGUCGGAUACUGGUUGGCUUGAAUCCGGGAGAGGGAUGCGGAAUUCCAGGUGUAGCGGUGAAAUGCGUAGAUAUCUGGAGGAACACCGGUGGCGAAGGCGGCAUCCUGGGCCGGUAUUGACGCUGAGGAGCGAAAGCCAGGGGAGCAAACGGG